rnacentral:SRP_RNA from 10 species
ACUGGGCAUUGUGGCACGUGCCUGUAGUCCCAGCUACUCAGGAAGCUGAGGCAGGAGGAUCAUCUGAGCCCAGGAGUUCUGGGCUAUAGUGUGCUACAUGACCAUCGAGUGUCCACAAUAAGUUCAAUAUCAAUAUGGUAACACCAACAGGUUGCCUAAGGAGGGGUGAACCAGGCCAGGUUAGAAACAGAGCAGGCCAAAACUCCCAUGCUGACCAGUAGUGGGACUGGGCCUGUGAACAGCACUGCAGUCCAUGCUGGGCAAUGUAGCGAGACCCUGCCU